rnacentral:rRNA from 1 species
UACGUAGGGGCCUAGCGUUGUCCGGAUUUAUUGGGCGUAAAGAGCUCGUAGGCGGUUUGUCGCGUCUGCUGUGAAAACUCGGGGCUUAACUCCGGGCCUGCAGUGGGUACGGGCAGACUAGAGUGCGGUAGGGGAGACUGGAAUUCCUGGUGUAGCGGUGAAAUGCGCAGAUAUCAGGAGGAACACCGGUGGCGAAGGCGGGUCUCUGGGCCGUAACUGACGCUGAGGAGCGAAAGCGUGGGGAGCGAACAGG